rnacentral:misc_RNA from 1 species
GAAAUGCGAUAAGUAAUGUGAAUUGCAGAAUUCAGUGAAUCAUCGAAUCUUUGAACGCACAUUGCGCCCGCCAGUAUUCUGGCGGGCAUGCCUGUCCGAGCGUCAUUUCAACCAUCAAGCCCCCGGGCUUGGGUUGGGGACCUGCGGCUGCCCGCAGGCCCUGAAAACCAGUGGCGGGCUCGCUGUCACACCGAGCGUAGUAGCAAUCACCUCGCUCAGGGCGUGCUGCGGGUUCCGGCCGUUAAACAGCCUUACAAAACCCAAGGUUGACCUCGGAUCAGGUAGGAAGACCCGCUGAACUUAAGC